GGGGUAUAGCUCAGUUGGGAGAGCGCCUGCCUUGCAAGCAGGAGGUCAUCGGUUCGAUCCCGAUUAUCUCC
rnacentral:tRNA from 1 species